CGCACGCACACACACACACACACACACACACACACACACACACACACACACACACACACACACACACACACACACCUCUCGUCGCCAUCGGAGCGAGAUACCGUGCUCUCCCGUUCGUAGAACGGUCUCAGACCGGGACACGUAGGAUGCCGCAGGAUCCUACAGGAAACGCGUCGACGAUAGCGCGCACGCCGCGACGGAGAACGGAAGCGGAUGCUGAGAAGAAGGGCGGAAUAUCGGGAGCGCCCAAGGGAAUUUUCUCUCUCUCUCGUUAUUUCGCCUCCCGUGUUUGUACUCGCGUUCGCCCUCAGCCUCAGUAUCAGCCUCAGCCUCAGCUUCAGCCUCAGUCUCAGUCUCAGUCUCAGUCUCAGUCUCAGCCUUAGUCUCCACCCUCUGUCACCCUUUCGGAGAGCGAACGCUCUCUUUCUCUUGUCCACUCGUUCACGUAAACGCGCGCAAGCACGCACAUACAUACACACGCCCGCGUCUCCAGCUCUCUUUACCUUUCUCAUAUACCCGCUCUCUCAUUCACUCGCACCCGCGCCCUCCUCUCUCUCUCUUUCUCUUUCUCUCUCUCUGUGCCGGGACCCUCUCCCUUCGCGAGAUCCAGCCUCCCUUCCUGCACUCUGUCGAGGGCAGAGGGAGCCCACCGAGAGGGAAAAUCGAUCCUCGACGAUGUCCUACCCUAACCCCAACCCCUCGGCCUCGCGCUCCGGGUGUGCAUACACGCCCCUCUGGCACCCACUUUCCACGAUCCGGGUCAUGGGUCACUGCCACCGCUCGUUCUCUCUGCUCGCCGUCAAUCGUACGCAAGGGUUUAACACCGCGUGCGCUAUUAUCGCGGGAAACGUUGUAAAACGUCUCCUCUUUUACGAGAUAAUUAAACAUGUCCGCGUAUUGAGAGUAGCAACAUUUAUAUAUGAAACAACCUGUCACUGACUCUUCCUAGCUUGUAAAGAAUCUAACAUAAUUUCAAUAAAAAUACAAGCCAGUAUCAAUUUGACCAGUAAUCAUUUACUUAUUGGAGCAUUAAGAAAACUCUUGUUAGUUUAAGGAAUUGUGUGUGUUAGAAUAAUUCAAUUACGUGAUGAAAAUACAAUUUAAAACAAUAUGAAAUUGUAACAAGAAUUUAUUGUACAAUGCGAUGCACGAAUAAACGAUCUCAAGUCGAGAUGUGUGCGCGGUAAAUAAAUGAAAAAGCACUUGACCCUUUUGAAUGUGCUCGAGGGAGCUGAUAACAAAUAGUACCGAGUAUAUCGACACUAACGAGACACUAACGAGUAAUGCGACUGUAAAACUAUCAUCUGCUUCUAAAGGAUACUAUUUGUGUAACAGCUUCCUUCUCGAAAGCGUGUGAAAUUGUAAGCGCUAUUAUAUUCAAACGAAUAAUGUAUUUCUUUAUAUAUACGUGUCGUUCGAUCUUGCCACAAAUAUAUAUAUAUAUAUAUAUUUUUUUUUUUUUUUUAAUUCUUACUAUGAAAUUAUAUUAGCCACUUUCCAUUUAAUUUGCAUUAUUUCAUCAUCGAAUCAAAUUGAUUAACGUUUCGACGUUAAAUGUUUGUGUAGAUGAAAGAACCUGUUACCAAAAGCGAUUUGUCUAAAAAAAAGGGGGGGAGAGGGAGGGAGAGAGAGAGAGAGAGAGAGAGAGAGAGAGAGAGAGAGAGAGAGAGAAAGAGAGAGAGAGAAAUUAUAUAAUACAAACAAUACAAAAGUAUAAUAUAUACAAACAAUACAAAAGAGAAAGGUAUGUUGGAUUUCUAUAUAGCGUUUGUUAUUAUAUAAAAGAAAAGAAAAAAAAGAGAGAUUCGCGUAUCUGCAUGUCUAUAGGCUCGCUUGGGAGAAGGUAGGUCAUGGAAUUGGCGCGCUCCGCCAGAAAUGAGGCUAUCGACCUCUAGAGAAUUGAAAGAGGAAGGAGGUCGUGACCCACUGGCGGGCUGCUGCUGCAGAACGAUUUUCUCGUUAUCGUGCUCGUGUUAACCCUCCCGCCGAGACCUUGAGGUGAGCAAACGUGACAACGUUGCGUUUCUGAUCCGGCGAUCCGGGCCAGUCGAAACGCGUAUAUAAUGUCUAGCCGCAAGAAAUAAAUUAUAUUAUUUUAUUUUUAUUAUAAUUAUAAAAUAAUAAUAUAUAAUAUAAUAUUUAUAAGAAUUAAAUAAUAAUAAUAUAAUAACAAUAUAAUAAAAUAAUAUAAUUAUAAAAAAAAUAAAAGGCUGAAUAUAUUACAAUAUAUUAAAGUGGAAUCCUACAUUAAACAAUCAUCUUUCAACAAAAAAAGAACAAACCAGCGAUAUACGCGUUGCAAUGAGAAAACCAUUAUGUAACAGCGGUGACAUAUUCUGUUUUAUCGGAGCGUUGUGUAUCGCGCAAAAAAAACCUGUAACAAUCGCUCUCAAUCGUACUUUUUUUUUUACAUUUCCGCCGCUUUCAUUUAAUUAUCCUCUGUCCGAUCUCUGCGACCUCUUGUCGAACUCGAUCGUUGCGAGAGAAAGAAAGAAAGAAAGAGAGAGAGAGACAGAGAACAGGGCGCUUUGCGCACGGCGAUCAACAAAACGCCGCGUCGGAUUUUUCAAUCGCUUCCGGUUAAAGGUUAAACGUUCGACGCUCGCUCGCGGAGAAUUAAUUCGCGACGACAAAGCGGGGAGGAAAACGAUGAAAGCCGGAUCGUGCGCGAUAAUAACGUGUAUCGACUCGGACGGCGCGAGUCGAACGCGCGUUUGAUGUUGCAGCGGCAACAGCCAGCUAGGCGAAGCCCCUCCCGUGCCCUGAGCAUCGGCGGCGGCCACGUUAUCGAGCAGCAGGUAUAGAAUAUUAUACACGAGGUGUUAAUCUAGUCCCUAUAUACGAAGAGAGUGCUCCAACGGACAAUUCCGAGGGGAGUUCCCCUCGGCGAGACCGAUUGGCCGCAGUCUCCCUCGACACCACUUCUCGAUUCCUUCGACACGGACGCUUGAUUCAUUAUGUGACGUUGCACAUUCUGGCAUCCGAAUGGAUCGGUUAUGACACGGCAUCAACACGGUCCAUUGAGAAACGAGAGAACGAUAUGCCGGUUGUGUUAUUUUAAACUUCUCGUGCGGCUCAACUUCGAACGGGUAGGGCGAUGCAAUCCGCGAUUCUCGAUUGCGACUCCGUCGGUGAAUUGAAUGGCACGAGCAAUACCUAUUCCCGUAUAUUUAUAGUACAUUUAUCGGCGUCUUUAUUGCACAGGAUCGCUCGGCUGUUUGGUGUUUAAUUCAUCGUUAACUCGCCGUGGAAAAAAUGUACUGCUCGCAAAGCCUGCGAAACUGCACGAAGAAUGAAAACUCCGAACACGCGCGAGUAAUGCGUAACUGACGCAACGAAUACUGUUUACGGAGUUAGACCACUGUAAAAUUAAAAAAAAAAAAAAUGUUUUGGGCUAAAAACAUACCUUAAGGUAUCAAAAAUGCAAGUGGUCCCGAUACGAAAAGAAAAAUUUUAAUGGUGUUUAUGAAACCGUAUUGUCGAGCGGCUCGGAGCGCGCUCGAGCGAUUUCUCACUGACGAACGGGGCAAAACAGGCUCAUAGAGAUUCUAGAAUUACUAAGGAAAGAAGAGGAGGACAAAAAUGUUGAUUUAGAAGAGUAACUAUAUAUGGUGCCGGAAUAGCAGAUUAGUGGUAAAUUAAAUUUUUAUUUUAUUUAAGAAAUAUCAUUACUUAAAACUUUAAACGCGUUUUUCUCGAAGUCGUAUUUUUCAAAUCGGACGAAACAAUAACUCAUUGUCAGUCAAAUCUUUACCGAUUCACGUAAAAUUUUGACUGUAGCUUCAAAAUAAAAUUUUUCGCAGAAGUAAUACGGAUUUUUAAUUUCAUUGUAAAAUUUUUUGUUAUACACAAUUUUUUUCUAAAAAUAAAACUUUUCAUAUGUGCGCCAUUUUCGCAAAAAAAAAAAACAGAAAAAAAUUUCCGUAUGUACUUCUAUAGAAAAUGACGUUUAGAUCUUAAAAAUUUUUAGUUUUUUGUUCUAGGUCAAGAAUUCUAAGAGAAACUUUUUCGCCCGUGUGACCCUUCCAAAAAAUAAUGAUUAUGCUACUGGACGUCUAUCAUCGACAUUUUUAUUAUUUAAAAAAAAAAGUAUUCUUAAAAAGACGAACGAUCAAGUGCUUAACUUGAAUUUUCUUUCUUGUAUUGUUUAUUUUCGUAAAUAAUUGUCAAAUGAUCUAACUUCUUAAAUCUCAACUGCAAGGGUUCAUCACCUAAUAAUUUGUCAUAAAUAUUCCAGGAAAAUGUCUCAGGAUCGAUGGAUUCUUUUCGACUUCGCGUGAUUAAAAAAAGUUGAGAAACACAACAAAUAAAAAUCCAGUUGUAUAUUUUUAUCAUCCGAA